UGUGAGUGAGCCCAAGAUAGGGGCAUUUAAGUUUGAAUAGAGUGCUGAAGAGAGAAACUGAUUCUAAUGCCAACUCAACUUGAAAAGCUUUGUCCCCAGA